UCACCUUUGCAUAUAAUAUUUUUUGACAGGUGAGCCAGGUCAGGUCGGACCAACAGGGCCUCCUGGUGAGAAAGGUCUUAAAGGAUCAGCAGGUGCUCCUGGGCCAGAUGGUGUUAAAGGAAUUCGAGGUAAUUUUAAGGCUAAGUGUUGGGAAAAUAUUAGUCUGUCUUUCUUUUCAAGCAUGCAUUCUUUAAAUUUCUCUUUCAUUUAAAUUAAAGGGGAUCAAGGUCCGAUUGGGUUGCCUGGAGCUCGGGGACCCUCAGGGCCUCCUGGAGAUGCAGGAAUACCAGGUAUAAAUGAAAAGAAAGUUCACACCAUGAAUCACACUAAGAUCAUUUGCACUGUUCAUGCUUUUUAAACAUAAUUGUUAAUAAUGCAAACCGUGUAAAGAAAGUGUUUUUCUGCACAGGUGCACCAGGACUCCAAGGACCACCAGGUUAGAUUUUACUUGUUCUCAGCUGCAUAUAUUAAACAAAACAUAUUUUGCAGUUAUUUU
rnacentral:lncRNA from 1 species